CCUACGGGUGGCAGCAGUAGGGAAUAUUGCUCAAUGGGGGAAACCCUGAAGCAGCAACGCCGCGUGGAGGAUGAAGGUUUUCGGAUUGUAAACUCCUUUUGUUAGAGAAGAUAAUGACGGUAUCUAACGAAUAAGCAACGGGUAACUCCGUGCCAGCAGCCGCGGUACUACGGAGGGUGCAAGCGUUACUCGGAAUCACUGGGCGUAAAGAGCGCGUAGGCGGGAUAGCAAGUCAGAUGUGAAAUCCUAUGGCUUAACCAUAGAACUGCAUUUGAAACUGUUAUUCUAGAGUAUGGGAGAGGUAGGUGGAAGUCUUGGUGUAGGGGUAAAAUCCGUAGAGAGCAAGAGGAAUACUCAUUGCGAAGGCGACCUGCUAGAACAUAACUGACGCUGAUGCGCGAAAGCGUGGGGAGCGAACAGGAUUAGAUACCCUUGUAGUC
rnacentral:rRNA from 1 species